GUCUUGGGCGCCCCCUGCCUUGGGUUCUGAUAUCCAUUGGCAACUCUGGUAUCCUCUAGGCCUGUAUCUAUCGGGGAAACAGGUACAGAUUUGGUCCAGACCGUCAAAAUCAGCUAUUGCUACGUGCUAAGCCACUUUUAUGGCCAGUGCUCAUUGGCCAGCCCUAGCAAUUGCUGGACCCGUUUUGAAUCCCCAUGGCAGCUCCCUCUGUGUUUUCCCGUUCACAGCUGGAGUCAGGAACGGUUUGUCUUCUCUAAAUGGGAAAGUUGAGCUCAAUGCAGGCUAAGUGACCCGAGGCUGGACAUUGCCAGGUUUUUUUUUCUUUGGUGUAGAAUAAAGCGAUGUUUGCAGUCGAAGUUUUCAGUGUUAACGGUGGACAGCUUCAGAGAGCCCAGGGAUGUCAAAGGAAGAGCAUUAGUCUCAUCUCACCUCUCAUUUUGCACAGG
rnacentral:lncRNA from 1 species